CUGAGGGCUUCCUUUAUGCCUACUUCAGUUACUGAAGUUGAAAAACACCCUAAUUCCAUUCAAUUACCUUCACUGCAGUGCUAUUUUUGAACUACCAUACAUAUGCAUGGUUUGCUGUUCUGUGUGACCUAGCAAAGUUCAGCAGAGCUCCAGGAACCAUUAUGAAGGGAGAGAAAUGAUUCUACAUGGCAAGCAGUGUUAUUUUUUAAUUAGUUUUUUUGGUUUCAGCAGCUUUCUUUUUUCUUGCUUUUCCUCAUUCCCUCAUUUUUUUCUCACUGAGGAGGAGAACUUCUUUGUCUUGUUAAGAUCAAAGGGGAGAGCAGGAUGUCUGAUAAUACCAGGAUUUUCACAAUAUGACAACAUUAGUAGAGGUGAGGAAGAAAAAAGUGACUUUACAAGAUGUUUUUAUUUUAAGGAAUAGAGUUUAUUUCAAGAACUUGUUCGUACGCAUUUGGAUUAAGAAGCUGAGCUCUCUGAAAUCACACUGUUAUGCUUUUGAGCCAUGGACGUUUGUAUUUAUUCUUUCACAGCCAUCUAUCUGCUCUUUUUCUUCCUCCUUCAAGUGCAGCAUUCAUCAGAGUGGUUACUUCAGUUCCCAUUGUUUUUGCUCUGAAUUCAUGGAUGUAAAGCAGAGAGAAAAAUAAUGGAAAGAUAAAUCCCUGGAAAAUGAUCAAUUAAAGAUGGCAGAUCUUAUCCUUGAGAGUUGGAACUGUUAAUGAGACAUGGGAGUGAUUUUACUCCCCUUUACCAAUAAAGGAUUCAUCUCAGUGAGGAGGAUGCAAAAAUUUAUACCACCUGCCUUGGAAGGUGGUUCUUCUUACUUUUAGUUCCAGAAUGGGAGCACCUGACAUAGAUUUUCCCCAGAUUACAGCUGACAGAGCUGGGGUCAACAUCUGAUGCUGAUUGGGAUGUUAAAAAUGGUUGAAGUGAAACCCCACACUUUUUCUUGUGGUGCAAAGAGAAGCUUUGUUACUUCAGAGCAGCAGAGCAGCACAUGUUCUGUAGGAGCUGGGAGGAUUAGAAGAGGUAUGUGCUCAUGGUGUACUGUUUGUCCCUGCCAGACGAUUCCCCAAGUCUUCUUCUGGGAAAGUGCAGCUAUGUUUCAACUGCUUUGCAGACAGAUUGGACACUUGCAAUCUAGGUCAUUGAGAAAAGCAAUUUAUGAAACAGCAGAAUGCUUUUCUAGAGAAUGAGAUGUCUGACUUUUGUUCCAAGCUCUGCCAGAGUGACCUUGCACUGCCACUUUCUCUGUAUUUCAGCAUCCACAACUAUAAAAUGUGAGUAAUGAGGGUAUAAAUGUAUCAUUUCUUUCUUGAGUAAUGAUGUUGCGUGGUCGUGCUUUGUCCUUUAUUUCUGUUUACUGUAUAGUUUGAGAUUUACUGAUAAAAAAGCGUGUUUGUAGCUAACUACAUUUCAGGAUUCUCAAUACACUAUUACUUGCAACUUAUUUAUUUGUAUCUGUACAAAGGUGGUAUUAAUCAUUUGGAAACUGUUACGGUCUUAUUAACUAAAUGGAGAAAGCAGAAUGUUUAGAAGUUCUGUGGGCUGCAGAUGCAAAAGGCAAGGAAUCAUGUUAAAAGAGAAGACAUUCUAUAAAUCACUCAUCCUCUAAAGUCCUGCAUACACAUCACCCUUCCUGCCUUAUAUGAGUCAAGACAGUAAACUUCAUCUCCAGUCUCCUAGAGCAGUUUGCUACACUUUCAUCUUACUCUGUUCAAAUUAUCCCUAUUUACUUAUUACUGUUUCAUAUAGUUUAUUAAUCCUUUCCUUCUACCGGACAUGCCUAAGUUAAGACUCAAUCGUAGAAGUUUUCCAAUGCACAAACUCUAUAGAUCUUAUAAACAGAAAACAAGUGACUAAAUACUGACUCUUGCCUCUGAUAUUACAUAUGUUAAUUUAGAAAAACAGUUCCUCGUGUUAGCACAGUAAUAAGAUUGUACAGGUUCUGCCCCUCUGCUGUGAACUGCCUAAUCAGCUAGAAUUUCGAAGUAAGGACUAGACUCAAAGAUCUAUAGAAAUUCAAAACAUUUUUUUGCCUGGUGCAGAAUAUGUCAUCUGUAAGACAACAAGUUCUGCUUUGGUCCUUGCAAUGCUUUCCAAAUGUAUAAGCCUCACUGGAAUUUUAAGCUGUUAAAUAUGUUUCAGAAUAAUCUGUGCUGCAGUAAUUAGAGAAAAAGAGAUUGCCUUUUCUUCCUACUGAAGAAUGUGUUAGCAUCACUUUACCAUUGGUUUUCAUUCCAAAUGACACAAUUCUGAAAUAUACUAAAAAUAUCUCAUAGAACUUUCACAUGAAAUUGUUAUAAUGAUGUUUGUACUAUAAGGGUCAUUUUACUUGCCUAACAUCCAUGAGAUGAAGACAAGAAAGCAUUGUGAGCAUGAUAACAAGAAUAUUAUGAUGGUUAACAUGACAUUUAUGUGGCAAUGGAAUGAACAACUCUAUAAGCCCGCUGGAACACAAGGGUUGCUGAAACAUGACAAAUUUAUUAAACCUAUUUCCUAACCCACUUUUUUCCAUUUUUUUCCCCAUCCAAUAACACAGAGAAUUCUGUGGCACAACAAUAGAGGGAAAAGAAUGACACCCGCCGGCAAGGUAGCAGAGCUGGUUUCUGUCUGUUCUUGCAUAAAGUAGGAGGAAUAGAAGCUUGUUUGUCGCUGCAGGAUGUGGAGAACAUCUCCACAGAAGAUGGAAGGUCCAAAUUGAUGGACAUUGUCAAAAGGACCUUCAGAGAUAAGGCUUAGCUUCUCUCACUGCCUCAUGUGUUACACAAAAAUAUUGUUCUCUUAGGUAGUGGAUAUAAUCCUGAAGGCUGGUGUCUGUUCACUUUCUUGAGCAACUUUGGAAACAGAUAUAUCUAAAAAAAAAUGUGUGCUGUGCUAUAAAGGAAUAUGUGUUAAGUGAAGUGAUAAUGCUUAUUUCUAAUGGUUUGCCUAAAAGUUCGGGUUACAAAAUCUAGUGAAACAGAGAGGACCAGAUACUUGUGUCCCCAAAAAUGAAAGAAAAUACCUCAUUUUCAUCAGGCUUCAUCCAGACCAGCUAUAAUCUUGUAUAAUGGACUUGCUCUCCAAGUAAAGAGGAAAUUUUCAUAAGGAAAUUGCCUUGUGGCUUCCGAAAGAAAACCUUUCUGAUUCAUGAGAAACUACACACCAGCAUUAAAAACUGUCAAAAUAAAGUAGCUGUUCUUAUGGAAAGCUGGUAUUUA
rnacentral:lncRNA from 1 species